UACCUGGUCUUGACAUCCUCGGAACCCUACAGAGAUGUGGGGGUGCCUUCGGGAGCCGAGAGACAGGUGCUGCAUGGCUGUCGUCAGCUCGUGUCGCGAGAUGUUGGGUUAAGUCCCGCAACGAGCGCAACCCUUGUCCGUAGUUGCCAUCAUUUAGUUGGGAACUCUACGGAGACCGCCGGUGACAAACCGGAGGAAGGUGGGGAUGACGUCAAGUCAUCAUGGCCCUUAUGACCAGGGCUACACACGUGCUACAAUGGCUGGUACAAAGGGCUGCCAACCCGCGAGGGGGAGCCAAUCCCAGAAAGCCAGUCGUAGUCCGGAUCGGAGUCUGCAACUCGACUCCGUGAAGUCGGAAUCGCUAGUAAUCGCGAAUCAGCAACGUCGCGGUGAAUACGUUCCCGGGUCUUGUACACACGC
rnacentral:rRNA from 1 species